UACGUAGGGGGCUAGCGUUGUCCGGAAUCAUUGGGCGUAAAGAGCGUGUAGGUGGUCCGGUAAGUCCGCUGUGAAAGUCGGGGGCUCAACCCUCGGAUGCCGGUGGAUACUGUCGGGCUUGAGUACGGAAGAGGCGAGUGGAAUUCCUGGUGUAGCGGUGAAAUGCGCAGAUAUCAGGAGGAACACCAAUUGCGAAGGCAGCUCGCUGGGACGUUACUGACGCUGAGACGCGAAAGCGUGGGGAGCAAACAGG
rnacentral:rRNA from 1 species